GUCACCCAGGCUGGAGUGCAAUGGUGUGAUCAUAGCUCACUGCAGCCUCAACCUCCCAGGCUCAAGCGAUCCUCCCACCUCAGCCUCCCAGGUAGCUAGGACUACAGGCAUGUGCCACUAUACCUGGCUAAUUUAUUUUUAUUUUUGUAGAGAUGGGGGUCUUGCUAAUGCUGCUCAGGUUGGUCUCGAAGUCCUGGCCUCAAGUGAUCCUCCUGCCUCGGCCUCACAAUGCUUUAUCUCCUUCUGUCCUAUCCCUGCAACACUGCUGACAGAAAUGCCAGCAUCCCUUCCAUUUGACAGCACAAGCCCUCUGAUAUCGUCCACACUCCACUCCACCCUUCAAUCGGUUGGAUCACAUGGGUUCCAUCUUCCCUGAGAAUGCCCUUCCUCAUCUUGUCCACCUGGAGCAUGACUUACUUAUCUGUCAAGGCCCAAGAUGACUGUCACCUCCUCUGUGACAUUCCAUAUGAGUUGGGAUAUUCUAAUGGUUAUAACAACAAUGCCAAAUGCCUCAGUGUCUUAACACAACAAGAGUUUUAGCUCUCACUCAGUUGAAUGAGAGUUGGCUGUGGUGAGGCAGGUGGGCUUUGCUCCCCAGUUACAUGGGGGCUCAUGUUCCUUCUGUCCAGUGGCCCCACCAUCCUGUAGCACAGAAGUUUGCAAACAAUGACCUGUUUUUGUAAAUAAAGUUUUAUCGAGAC
rnacentral:lncRNA from 1 species